rnacentral:rRNA from 1 species
GUAUACAAUCUGCCUUUUACAGGGGGAUAGCCUUUAGAAAUGAAGAUUAAUAUCCCAUAGUAAGUUGUUAUUGCAUGAUAGUAACUUUAAAGUUUCGGCGGUAAAAGAUGAGUAUGCGUUCUAUUANCUAGAUGGUGUGGUAACGGCACACCAUGGCGACGAUAGAUAGGGGCCCUGAGAGGGGGAUCCCCCACACUGGUACUGAGACACGGACCAGACUCCUACGGGAGGCAGCAGUGAGGAAUAUUGGACAAUGGGCGAGAGCCUGAUCCAGCCAUGCCGCGUGCAGGAAGACUGCCCUAUGGGUUGUAAACUGCUUUUAUACAGGAAGAAACCUUUUCACGUGUGAAAAGCUGACGGUACUGUAAGAAUAAGGAUCGGCUAACUCCGUGCCAGCAGCCGCGGUAAUACGGAGGAUCCAAGCGUUAUCCGGAAUC